GACUGGAUAGCUCAGGUGGUUAAAGCUUGGUGCUGAUAAUGCCAAGGUUGCAGGUUAGAUCCCCGUAUGGGACA